CCCAGACUCCUACGGGAGGCAGCAGUGGGGAAUAUUGCACAAUGGGCGAAAGCCUGAUGCAGCAACGCCGCGUGAAGGAAGAAGGCCUUCGGGUCGUAAACUUCUGUCCUUGGGGAAGAAGAACUGACGGUACCCAAGGAGGAAGCACCGGCUAAAUACGUGCCAGCAGCCGCGGUAAUACGUAUGGUGCAAGCGUUAUCCGGAUUUACUGGGCGUAAAGGGAGCGCAGGCGGCGCGCCAAGUCUGAUGUGAAACCCCGGGGCUCAACCCCGGGCAUGCAUUGGAAACUGGCGGGCUGGAGUGCCGGAGAGGUAAGCGGAAUUCCUAGUGUAGCGGUGAAAUGCGUAGAUAUUAGGAGGAACACCAGUGGCGAAGGCGGCUUACUGGACGGCAACUGACGCUGAGGCUCGAAAGCGUGGGGAGCAAACAGGAUUAGAUACCCCGGUA
rnacentral:rRNA from 1 species